UUCCAGGUGGAGUUCUACCAAUGGUUCUACCACUGCCGGUUUCUUUCCAGUCCGUCACUCAUUGCUGUCUUGUGGAGAAGAGAAUAAUUUACCUUACUUAAAAGAUCCUGACAGCAGCCAUGCUAGCUCAAGUGAUGGAAUUCCUGCCACGCAUGUGAGAGACCUGCAUUGAGUUUCCAGCUCCAGGCUUUGGUCUCUGGCCUGCUCCAAGACCACUGUUGACCCACCUAGGGCAUGAACCAAGUUUGUCCAAAGAUACCUAAAAGGAAAGUUUCUCAUCUUUGGGAUCCAAAGAUAAAUCAGUAAAGCCUAUGUUCAGGCUUCCUGUUGUUCUACAAGCCCACUUUACUUCUGCCUACUCCAGGAUCUGCUUGGUCUACAGGGCCACAAGCCAGGUAAGCUACCUUCUCCUUAGGUUGGCAGAUGAGGAAGGGGGAGCCCAUUCUAAAACAAAACAAUGAUUGGACUAGGGUUGCACCUUACAGGUGUUCCAUUGUAAGUGUCUGUUGCAGACAAUGCCAGCCUCUCAGAAGUUAUCACAAAUGUGUGACUGCUUGUAUAUAAAGCUCUGUGAAAUGGAAUGACUAAUCGAUAAAUGUAAGCAUGGGAUUUUGUGAAAUAUAUAUUAAGAAAUAUACACUAUAUUAAUUUAGCAUAGACAGUAACAUAUUCCACAGACCUGCUUGCACAAUAUAGCGACAGACCACUGCAUUAUUAAUGCUUUGGAAAAAUUUAUUUAUUCUAUUCCAUUAGUGUAUUUUAACAAACAUUGCUUUGGGAUAGUAUGCCUGCCAAUUUAUGUUUAUGAGACUGUCAACAUAAUUUACAUGCAGACAAAAAUAUGAUACAAUAUUGCCAAUGCAGAAUCGCCUUGUCAAAUGAUAUUGUCACGAAAAUAUGAAACAGUACCCCAGCUGAGGAAUCAAGCAUAUUCAUCACUGCUGGCUGCACAGAAUUUGAGGUGACAUGCUGAAAUACAUUUAAUGCCUUUUUUUCAUGCAUCAAAUGAAUAAAAAGUGAAUGAAUGAGGUACUUCUGACUGCCAUACACUGUGCAAAAGCAAAUAGAUUUCUUAUUUUCCUGGAAAAAAGAAUAAAUAUAAUACAUGGGUUCCAGAAAUACUUGACAGAAUUAUAUUUAUUAUUCAUUUGGAAAACUGAGUAUGCUACAAAAAUCACAAAUGGUUCUAAGUGUUCCGCUGCAAUGAAGGAGACAGUCAUGGACAGAGAUGACGGCAAACUUAGAGCUCCUAAUUUGCCCAGGAAUAAGAACGGUGGCAGAGUGGAAAACAGCUGUUAUGUGACCUAGGGCACUGUGUUAAAUAAUAUAGGAAACUUUUCAAAAUUGUAUUUAUUUGAGAAGCAAAGAGAAAAGAGCCCUUGUCAACUGGUUCCCUCCUAAAAUUUCUGUAAUGGUUGGGGUUGGGCCAAUGCUGAAACACAGAGGUAGGAACUCAGUCCAUUAUUUCCCGUGUGGGUAUCAGGAACCCAAGUACUUAAGUCAACACCAUUGCCUCCCAGAGUCUGCCUUGAUUGGAAGCUACAGUUAGAAGCCAGAGCUGAUAACGGAACACAGGUACUCUGAUAUGGAAUAUGGGAUUUUAACUGCUAUACUAAACACUUGUCCCAAUACAGAAGCAUUUAAUGACAGUUCAUCCUUUAGAAGGUGAAUAACUACAAAUGGGGGUGUUUUUUUUUUUUCUGCACUUUAAAACUUCUAAUCCCACCAGCAUGACUUCUGGGCACUGACACGUUCAAGUCUGGGUUCAAUCUGUGCAUAUCUGAGCUUCAGUAGUAUGCAAGAACUUUAGUCAUGAAUUUCUAACUCUUCCUGUGCUGGUGAUUUGUGAGUCCAACGAAUUUGACUAACCAGAGAACACUCAACUUGCUCCCAGGGAGGCAACAGGGCUGAACACACAGCUCUGUCAGUCCUGAAAGCAUCCUGACCAGGGACUGCCUUCAUCUCCUGAUGAAAGGUCCUCUCUGCUGGAGGCUUCUCCCUUGUUCUGGGCCACAUCAUCAAAGGUGGUGCAAGCAAGCCUGUAGCAUGUUCGGUGUAAGGAGCCUGAGUAGCCUUGUUCUCAUAAUAGUUCCACUAGCUCUUACGAGCACCUAAGGAAAGAGGAACAGCGCUCUUACUCUAUGUCCCUGUUUGAACCUGCAUUCUUAGAACUCAUGUUUUCAAGGGAAUUGGGGGAAAAAAUUAUGUCUGGAAACCAAAAACGAACUCAUGUUUCCAAUUUGAAGGCUGCUGCCUCAGCAGCCGAUUGAGGAUUCUGGAUUCUCUUCUGGAACUUCCAGUUUACCAGAUUCAAACAUGUGAAGAGCAAAGUGAAGUUGUAGAGGACUUCACGUAGCAGUUGCAAAAAUGCACUCCUUUUGUUUCUGCAGCUCUGGCUCUGACACACAUUGAAGUCUCUCUGAACCUCAGUUUCUUCCCAAAUAGAUUGGAAAUGAUAUUGAUCUCACGACAUUAUUGUGACAAUGAAAUGAGGAAUUGUUGAAUCACAUGAAAUGCCUGGUACUCAACCCCUUUGACACUUAGAAUGGGCAGUGUCAGAGGGUUCACCCACCACAGUGUAAUACAUGUUCACUGUUGGAACUAAAUAGGGCAUCUUGAAAGUUGAAGAAACUAUGUAAAAUAACUACAUUUCUGUUAUACUCUUAUUAAUAUUGCUACUACUUAUACAAUUCUACCCUAGGCGUUACUCUCCAUCAGUGACAUUUGAAAUGGAAUCUAUGAACCAUAACAUUCCAAAUUCAGGUUGGGCAUUUGGCAUAGAGUUUAGGAUGCUGCCUGGCAUGCUCACACGCUGUAUCAUAGGGUCUGGGUUCAAGUCUCAGUCCACUCCAGAUUUCUUUUCUUUCUUUUUUUUUUUUUUUUUUUUUUUUUUGACAGGCGGAGUGGACAGUGAGAGAGAGAGAGACAGAGAGAGAAAGGUCUUCCUUUGCCGCUGGUUCACCCUCCAAUGGCCGCUGCGGCCGGUGCGCUGCGGCCGGCGCACCGCGCCGAUCCGAUGGCAGGAACCGGGAGCCAGGUGCUUCUCCUGGUCUCCCAUGGGGUGCAGGGCCCAAGCACUUGGGCCAUCCUCCACUGCACUCCCUGGCCACAGCAGAGAGCUGGCCUGGAAGAGGGGCAACUGGGACAGAAUCCGGCGCCCCGACUGGGACUAGAACCCCGUGUGCCGGCGCCGCAAGGUGGAGGAUUCGCCCAGUGAGCCGCGGCGCCGGCCCAGAUUUAUUUUCCUACUAAUGUACACCCUGGCAAGAAGCAGGUGAUGGAUCAAGUAGUUGAGUCCCUGUCAUCUACUUGGUGAGAACCCCUGGAUACUAUUGAGUUCCCAGGACCUGACAUCAGCCUGGCCCAGUCCCUGCUGCUGUGGGCAUUUGGGUAGUGAAUCAGCAGAUGCAAGAUCUCUCUCACUCUCUUCCUUCCCCACUCUCUCCAACCCCCUCUCAAAUAAAUUAAAUAUAUUUUUAAAAAUUAAUAACAUUCCAAAUCCUUAAGUAAUAUGUAACACAUGUGAUAAAACACAAGACAGUCUAUCUUACAUAUGAUUUAUAUUUCUGAGGCAUGUAUACAGAACACUGGAUAUUUUUAUGGUUCAUGAGUAUAAAUUUCUGUAAGAAAAUAUUUUUGCUGAUAUAGUCCUCUAAAUUCAAGACUCUGAAGAUUCUGUUUAAGUUAACACCUCCUAUCAGGGAGCAUGGAACUUCCUGUUCUCCAUAUCACACCCUCUUUUCAGCAUUGUCAAAAAAGCAACUGAUUCUACAAUUCACACAAUGUUAUGAAUGUUCUAAUUAAUAGCUGGACAGAAGAAAUGAUGGAAGAUGGCACGGGAGUCCAACAUACCUAGACGAGUGAAAGAACAGGCAUAGUUUCCAAGAGCUGCAGAGCCCAGAUACAUAUACAGUUCAUUAGGGAAGGGGGUGGGGUGAGGUGGGGGGAGUAGAAGGGUAUGACAUGAGAAAUAAAAGCUAUGAAAAAAUGAGAUAUUGAGAUAGGGAAUAGAUGGAAAAAGGAGCAAAAAUGUAAUGGAGAAAAAUUGCUGUAGGAAAACUGUAUGAUGCAUCAUCAAGGGUAGUCCACAUCUGCUUGUCGGAGAGAUGGAAGUGUUUGCAUUAAGCACCAAUUGGAGUGAAUUAAACAACACUUUUUCUUGGCCUGAAAAUUUUCUUCCUGACCCAAGCUGGUGAUCAAAUGGUACCUCAGAGAAUGAAGAUGAAUAACUCUUGUCAUUUUGAUCUUUGCAUUAGAAAUUACCAUUGCUAUCUUUCUCAGAGUUAAAUCCAUUUUAAAGAAAUUGCCUCAAUAUGAACUUGUAGCUGGAUGUAGAUGGGAUAGUUUGGGGUAAAAGAGGCCAAAUUUAAAGCCCCACAUUCCUCCCUACCCCUCACCCCCCAAAAAAUCCUUUUCUUUCUGUGCCCCUGCAGGUAUGAAAGACGAAAACUCUGUCUAAUUGCAGAGAGUGAUACACAUAUUGGUCAAAACCACUAGUGAAUCUGACAAAUUAUUGAAUCUAGGAUUUUUAGCUGAACAUUCAGAUUCUCAUGGUGUUCUCCAAACACAUUUGCACCUAAAUCAGAAAAUGUCUAGGCUCUGCAAAUACCAUGAAAUGUAGAGUUUUAUAUGAGUUGCAUUCAGAUAAUUUUAGCAUCAGAUAUCAGCCAAAGAACCAAUAGCUAUCUUAAAUUAUAUGAACUUUUUUUAAAGUCAAUGCAAAUAUGUCAGGACUGUAAAAUAUCUCUUUGCUAAAGAAACUGCAAACAACCUUGGCUGUAUCAACAAAUAUAUACAAAUUAUGGUUUCAUACAUCAGGCAAGGCCCUAGUCCUAGGUUCUAGCACAGAAGUGAUGCCUUAGAGAAGGCAAUAUUUGGUCAUGGUCUCACCCACCAUGUUUCAAUGGCAGGAGUGACUGUGUUUCUGAUGGCUGGUAUUCUACUACUGGUGGGUGGCUCAGUGAUAGUUUUAUUGACACACAGAUCAAUGUUGGUUUACUUGUAGAUAUCUGGUACUUCAAAUUCAUACUAUAAAAUUCAUUUUAAAAAUAAAUGUAGGGGCCGGUGUUGUGGCACAGCGGGUAAAGCCAAUGCCUGUGAUGCUGGCACCCCCUAUGGGCACCAGUUUGAGACCUGGUUGCUCCAUUUCUGAUCCAACUCCCUGAUACUGAGCCAGAGAAAUCGGCAGAAGAUUGUUCAAGUAUUUGGAACCCUCCAUCCACGUGGGAGACCCGGAAUAAAUCAGGCUCCUGACUUGGGGCUGGCCCAGCCCUGACCACUGCAGCCAUUUGGGAAGUGAACCAGUGGAUGGAAGAUCUCUCUCUCUCUCUCUUUCUCCCUCUCUCUCUCCCUCUGUAACUCUGACUUCCAAAUAAAUACUUCUUUAAAAAAUAAAAAAUAAAUGUAUAUGAGUAAAAAUGAAUUGAUUUACAGAAACAUAUUAAAUGUAUAUCAUGCAUAUGAAAAUGUCAAAAGUUGUGUCAAAAUUAUGACUUUGGCCCACGAAUGAAUAAAGUUUGCAAAAAUGAGAGUUUAUAUGAAGACGUAAAUGGCUGUUGGCCAGAUCUCCAGAUGGUAUAAAGCUAAGAAGGAUGGAGCCAAUGUCUGACGAGAGAGCCUUGAUGGAAGGGGAAAUGCUGGGCUGAAACUAACGAGAAUAAAUUAAAAUAGCAAAAAUGCAAAUUUUUAUAUUUUAGGUGCAAAACAACAUCAGAGCAAGUAUAGAGGGUAGUGGGAUUUCACAGCAACUUAUGUGAAAAUACCUUUUUAAUUAAUAACAUGAAAGUCUUACUGGUAUUAUUGGUCUUCAAGAUGCACAAAUUGUAUUCCCCUAACUUUUCCCCUCCACCUUUGAUGAGUCCAGCUCAAUACACUGAAGUUAGGAUGAAAAUGGGAGACAGUAAUUGAAAAGAAGGGCAGUGUUAUUCAGGCCCUAAAAGUGGAUGGGGAGAAAAGAAAACCAAGCCCUAUUAUUUCAACCAUGAUUUCAAUGUGAGAGUUAGGAGGAAAUGCAGCACAUAGCUGGUGGGUAGCAGAGGUGGGAUUUGAACCCAGGCAGUUGGGUCCCGAAAUGCUCUCAAGCAUUGCAGCAUCUCCUCCAUCCUUGACCUAUGGUAACUAAUAAAGUAUAAAAAAAUGUAAUGUAUAUGAGAGAAAUUGACAUUUUGAGAUUUAAUUACUGUUUAUAUUCCUUGUCUCUACUGUCAAGGAACAAUGUUUUCUUCUUCUUCUCCUUCUUCUUCUGCUUCUUCUUCCUAUUUGUUGAAUUUUUUACUUAGUGGAGGGUUAAGCUUAUGAUUAUAAAAUAAAGUGAAAGCAUGUCAUUGUAAAAAUUAAAAGAAAGAAUGAGAAAGGAAGAAGGCGGGAAGG